AUUGCGCGGGGUGCCGAGCGCUGGGCGCCAUUUUGAAAAGGAAGAGGUAAUCCCGCGGCGGCUGCUUGGCUGAGGUGUUCGCGGUGGCGGCGCGGCGGCCGCUUCCUUCUCCCGCCGCCGCCUCGGCGCCCGCCCGCCAUGGCAGAGUAAAAGCCGCCCUCAUUCUCCAGGAGAACGUAAUGCUGACAGCAGCUGCCAGAGUCGCGAGCCAGAGUUUGACAAGAAAUUGAAGAAAAAUGAACCAAAUUAGGUGGUUCCUGCAACAGAAUGCUGCGCAUUUUCUGCUCUCUACAAAUGGUUUUGAGGCGCCAGAAGAGCCCAGCAGUAGGUCCUUCUCCGAGACUCCCUGUCAGUGAAGAUGCGGGACCUCAACGGGGAGAGCCGGCCCGUCCAGACCGCCAGGUGAGGCCACGGUGGGGAUGCUACCCACCGUGCAUGCGACCGUCCCCCGACCUGCCCGUGCCUUCACUAAGGGCCACGCGUGCCUCCGAGGCGAGCCGUGUCCCUGUCCGGGACGACUGCACCCUCGACACGUGUGGGCGCUGCUGGAACGGCUCCGACGGGUGAGGCCCGCCUCGGGUCCCAGAGGCAGCCGGGUGGGGCGCAGGGCCGCCCCUCACCUCGCUUUCGAGUCCAUCCGUGUAUGAACAGUGAGGGUCACGUGUGCUGUUUCCUGCUCAGCGAGCGGGUGACAGCUGUUUGUGUUGUUUCCAAGAUGAGUGGAAGAGCAGGCGGGGAGUUAUCCUGUGGCCUGUGGGACGGCGGCGUGUUCCAGUUUGCGUGUGCCCUGGGGACACGUGGAGCAGCACCUCGGAGGUCUGGGGUGCUCAGACAGGAAGUGGGGGUGGCCGGGCGGCGUCCUGUCCUGUCUGUAACGUUCUAGCAAAGGAGGGGUGUCGCCUGGGCCCGUCGUGGGAGCGAGCAGAGCGGGGACUGCCGCUGGCGGUGAGACCCGGGCCCUUGCCUCAGACACCUAGAGACGGGUGUGGCACCACCAUCUCUUCCGGGGCAGUUGGGCUCACAGACAAAUAAGGCCAGGAGCACAGAGGAGUGGCCUUGGGGCAUCAGCUGGGACCAGGGGCCUGCAGCACAGGAGGGCACAGGGGCCAUGGCCUGGCACCCGCACCAGGUUGGCCCUGGAAGCUGGGACCCACAGGAGGGGAAAAGGCAUCCGUUGACCUUCAGGCGGAGCCUGAGGGCAGUCUGUCUGUCCGAGACCUUGGUGGGGGGGGGUGUCACCGUACCCGCCCUCCCUUCUGCACGGGGCCGGGGGGCCCGUGUUUGUACCACCUGGGAACGUGUUCCACACGCUGCCCACGGGCCACCUCAGUGUCUUCGCUAUGUGGGGGGGCUGCAUCAGGGGCAGCGCAGCGCAAGCCUCACACAGGCCCAGGUGCAGGGUUGGCAUCCUGGCCAGGGCACCGAGCCCGGGGCCGCCGCUUUUCAGAGUGGUAGACAGGCUGCUGGGAGCACAUGCGCUGAGAACACGCACACGUGGGGGCGCCAGUGUGGGCGACGGUGGGCUGUGACCCUGAGAGCUCAGCUCCCGACACAGAGGGAGGGUGUGGGAACGUUCCGGCAGAGGAGGAGCCAGAGCCUGAACACAGAGACGACCCGCCCCCUCGGAGAGGAAUCAAGCGGGACUCGCCGAGCUGAGCAGAGUCGUGGAGGGUCCUGGAACCACAGGCCCGAGCAGCACGAGGAGACCCGGAAUCCGUGAACGGGAGAUGGGAUGCAUUCUGAGAAAAACGUUAGAUCAUUCUAAGAAAAACCAUCAGGAGAAAUCACCCAGCAUGCAGCUCAGGGACCCAGAGAGGAAGUGUGGACGCCGGGUGCAGGGCGACCGCGCAGCUCACCGCCCGCAGGCCCCACCUCUCCCAAGUCCAAGGCGCAGCACAUGCCAGUGUCCCCGCGGGGUUUGGAGAAGCCAGGAGGCUGCGUGUCAUUGUUCUCUCCCACGUUCAUCCUUUCUGCCUGUGGGAGGUGUCCCAUCAGACACUAGGGGACUUGCCCGCGGCCAGGAUCAGCCCUGCGCGUGUGAACCAAGCGGCAGCCUUCUCGUGGUGUCUGGAAGCCCGGCCUGACGCUGCGGUGACGGCCCGGAGCGCGCAGGGCGAGCGGGAGGCCCCUGGUGACACUGCUGUCAUGGCUGCAGGCGCUCGGAAGCCGUGGCUUGGACUCGGCAGCAUCUGCCCUCAGCCCGCCAUCCUCCCUUCUGUAGGAAAAGACCAGAAGCUUCUCCCAGCACGGUAGAAGCGGAUCGCGUGAAGCACGACUCGCUCUGGAGACCCGGACGCUGUCAGAACGCAUCCUGAAGACAUGGGGCCUGGGCCCCGGCGCAGCUCUGGGGUGUGUGUGCUGUGUCGGGAGGUGCUGCCUUCCUCCGGUGACAGGACUCUUCCCGACUGCCCAGAGCCUGUCGAGUCACAAGGAAAAUCUCCUUUAAGUUAAAAUGCGUGUAAAGCCUGUAUGACCAGCCGCGCGUGAAGAUGGUGGCGGCGCAGUGGUGUCUGCGGGGCUCGGGUGGGUGGGGGGCUCGGCUGGGAACCGCGGACGAGUGCAGGAGGGAACAGACGGGUCCAGGCCUGGAAGGGUGAGCCCGUCGGGGUCUGUACCCUGGCCGAAAACGCAGGGCGCAGGGAGAAGCACGUACCCGUUGCUCUUUCCUCUAAUGAACAGACGGUGGUACUUUGUAUCGACAUGAUUAUACGUGUGGCGUUCAGUAGGCAGUUCUCACUGCCUUUCUCCUGACCAUUUCCGGUUUUCAUCUCUUACUCCUAGAAAGGACUGUUGCGUGGCCUUGGGGGUCACGGGCUGUGACCCGCUCCGUCUGACGGUCGGGCCGGGCUGGGCCGGGCGGGAAGGUGGGUUCCCAGUCGCUGAGUCUCCUGCUCUCCUGUUUCGAGCAGCGCGACCACGACCGGAUCCAGCCACAGCUUCUUCAGGAUGUUCGACGGGAACCCGCGGAGGGACGUUAGGCUGGAAGCGUCCAGGGAGAACAGCAGACCUCGUGCCAGCCGGAAGCCCCGCAGAGCAUGCAGGGCGGUCGGAGAAAGACGAGAGGAGCGUGACCAGCCUGGACUUCAUCCGGAGGUUCUCCCUGCCGCCUGGCGCCCAGCUGAGCGCGUCAUGGCUGCGGCCGCCACCAGCAACCUGCGUGACCUCCAGGACAGAAUCACCUGAGAGGCGACGGGCCCGCCCGCGGCUUGCGGCGUCGCGCCCGGUCCUCCUGGCAGAGGAGAGGCCUCCUGCUUCCCCGGGCAGACAGGGAAGCCCGGCGGGUCCCUGCACUUCUGCUUCAGGUGAGCCCCGGGUGCCGCCGCUCAGGCACGAAGCCCGCAGCCCGCUCGACGUGGAGCAGACGGACGGGACUGGGGAAAGGCCGUCCCCCAAAGCGGGCGUGUUUAUGUAGGUCUGAGCCUGUCCUCCAGUGUAUAGGUCAGAAAUUAGCAUCCAAGAGAAGGGGCCUCGGAUCCGGUACCUCCCCCCCGUCCAGUCCUUCCCCCUCCUCUGCUGUCAUAUUCCGCCUCCGGAGCAGCCCGGCUGCUGUCCCUGGCCCUUGGCCUUCUCUGCGCCCAGGGCAGGUGCCAGGUGGGUGCGGAGCUUCGGCCGAGCAGGCUCAGGCAGCUUUAGGCCCACACACCCCUGUGUCUCCUGUGUUUCCUGUGACCAUUUAUUUACUCAAAGCAACACACUCUCCCGAGUGUUUUAAAAGCCAAAAGUAAGAAUCGUCUUUUGGACUUAAUUGCACAUAGUGCAAGUCUGCAGAAUUCACCUUGAGACUCUCUUGUCCUUCGUUGACAGAGCGCUGGAGCGUGUGCAGAGCUUCUGACUCGGAGCGCACCUGUCCCCAGGUGAGGUCUGGGAGGAGCCUUAACUGCAGCCACCCCUGAGCGGGAAAGGGCAGGAGCAGCAGCAGCACAAUCCCUGCUGGGACGUCGCCACCUGCCUGAGCCUCCAGUUCGCCAUGGCCGGCACGGCCACGCUCUGUAAACCUGUGUGAAAAGUACUACGGGGGGACCUGCACGCCGGACUUCGCGCUGCGUCUCAAGCCGUCGGAAUUCAGCCGUUUUAACUGUUGGGUGAUGCCACCUGGACCUUGGUGGUUUAUUUUUAAAGUAGGGUCUUAAAUAACAACGCAGAUUUCCCAAGACCAAAAUCCCAGAGGUGACACACUAAGUGACAGGAACCUCACCCGCAAGCCCAGGUCGCGGUGGUGUCCGGGGGCGGGACAGCGGGCUUCCAGGCUCCCGCGAGGGCAGGGCGCGUUCUGGUUACGGGCGCUGUGGACGGGCAGGAACGAAGCGUCUUGUCGUCCCUGCCUCUGAAUUAACGCGGACGGGGCCUCCUGAGUUCACCUUCAUUUGGGAAUCAAGGGUCACGAGUACAUUUAACUUAAAGCUGGCUCUUGCUGUGCGUUGCCGGAGGCAUAGCUUACAGAUCUGACAUGGGGAACAGAGUUGCUUAAGUACCCGUCAGCCCUGGUCCCUAAGGAGCAGCAGUUCUGGGAGUUCCCGUCGUGGCACAGCAGUAAUGAACCCAACUGGUAUCCAUGAGGACGCGGGUUCGAUCCCUGGCCUCGCUCAGUGGGCUAAGGAGCGUGAGCUGUGGUGUGGAGCGCAGACGUGGCUCAGAUCCCGCCUUGCUGUGGCUGUGGUGGAGGCUGGCAGCUGCAGCCCCAGUUCAGCCCCUAGCCUGGGAAGCUCCACAUGCCACGGGUGUGGCCCUAAGGUCAAAAAAAUAAAGGAAAAAAAACUCU
rnacentral:lncRNA from 1 species